GUGAAGUUCUCCCAGCUGACUGUUGGCACAUGGACACUCACACAGAUACACACAAAGACAAAGUAUGUAUGAUUUACACAGGAGUGGCAUGGCAGCUUUUGUAGUUGGCUCCUGAAUUUUUUCUUUAUUGUCUGCAUUUUGAUGGAUGGAUAGACAGACAGACAGAUGGAUAGAAAGAAAGCCUUGUCACAGAACCUGUAAGACCUAAAUACUAUUUACUGAUGGUUAUUUUGUUACAAAUGCAACAUGUGUUUCAGCUUGGUCUAUUUAAAAUAUAUUGAAAGAUAUGAAACUGAACUUUAAAGUUGUGUUGGUCAUAAAGUUUUUCUACAGUCUGUUUCAUCUACUGUUAACAUGGUGGCAGUGUGUCUUCAGUCUAUUUAUCAAGUUGAGCAAAUUGUCUUUGUCCUCAGAUAAACUUCAGCAGUAGUUGUUUGGCAACUGGGUCAAACCAUGGGUUAAAAUCGCUGCAAGAUCAUUUCAAUAAUUCGAUUUUUGUGAUUGAUUGAUUUAAUUUUUGCAGAAUUACACAAAAUUCUAGAUUUGAUUCCCAUUACACUUUUUGGAGGGGUGGGGCGAGACUCAAAGAGGAACACAUCAAAUAUUGGUGCAGAUGCAGAUCAGGGGGCGGACCCAGAAUUAUUUUCUUUUUUCUGUAACAGUGCAUGAGAGAAUAUUUUUCAACAUCUUUUGUAAAGGUCUGGCACUUUAGUUAUAUUUGUCAGGCUAAUUCUAAAAGUGUUUUCUGUUUAUUUUGUAAAUCCCUGUUGUGAAUGUUCAACUUGUUUUCAUGUUUCCACACUCUGUUUCUGUUUCCUUUUUUAUUUUGUAGUCUCUGUUCCCUGUGUGUUGUUUCUGUCUUCAGUUCCUGUCUGUGAUUGUCUGCCCCAGUCCUCAUGUGUUACACCUGUGUUCAAUUGCCCCUGCCUUCCCGGUGUGUGUAUAUAAGUCUCUGUGCUCCCCUUUGUGCUGGUUGGAUUGUUUGUUCUUGUUGGUCGUUGAUGUUCCAUGGCGCUCCGUUCCUGUCCUGCGCUCCUGUCCCGAUCUCCUGAGCCUCUGCACCUUUGAAUCCCCUGUACUCAGACAUGGAGGCGUGGAGGACAUGAUUAUGAUCUGUUGAUCGCGUAUCAGAUCGUAAUAGUGGAUCCAGUAUGGCGGAUUCUGUAUCGUGCUGGCUGAUCGUGAUAAUAUUGGUGGAUGCUUUAUCGUGUUGGCAUCAAAUGAUGGUGGUGGACCAGGAUCGAGGUGGCAGCUGGUGAUGGAUCCUAAUGGCAGCAGUGGACAAUGACUGUGGACUAUGGUGGCAUCCGAUCUUGAUGGUGGAUCAUGAUCUGGCUGCUGACCAUAGACUUUAAUUGCAGCAGGACUGCUUGAUAAAUAGUAUUUCUCCUCAGAUACUUGAUCAUUACUGACAAUAAUCCAUCAAUUAAUUGACCUUCAGUUAUGCCUCAAAAUGUUAACCCUUACCACUUUCCUCCCUGUACUUGAUUACAGUGAUCUCUUAUAUAUGAAUGCCCAAGCAAACUGUCUGCGUUCUCUAGACACUGUAUAUCAUGGUGCCUUAAGGUUUGUCACUGGUUGUAAAGCCCUCACUCACCGCUGCAUCUUAUAUGCUCGAGUUGAGUGGCCAUCUCUGGCAGCACGCAGCCUUAUACAUUGGCAUAUUUUUAUUUAUAAAGCUAUCUUGGGUCUGCUCCCCCACUACUUAUGUAAUUACAUCUUUAAAUCCCAGAGCAAUUACUGCUUACGUUCAAAUGAGUUUUUUUUAUUAAUUAUGCCCAAAGUUCACUCUGAAUUUGGUAAGCACUGUUUUAAGUUCGCUGCACCUGCUGCUUGAAUGCACUGCAAAAAACUCUAAAGUUAAAGGAGCUCAUAAACCUUGAAACUUUGAAGACUCAUGUGAGAGAAAUUUUAGCUGCUUCAUACUGCACUUGUUCUUGUUUGGGUGUGAAUCCGGAGCUUUAGUCCUGUUGCCUUAUCUUUUUUUUUUUUUUAAUGUAUUUUAUCUCCGUUAUGUGAUUUCUGUGUGUCUUGUGACUGUUGCAAUUUUUUGUAUGCUGCUGUCUUGGCCAGGCUUCCCUUGGAAAAGAGGUCAUUGUAUCUCAACGGGACCGACCUGGUUAAAUAAAGGCAAAUAAAAAAAAUCAA